UACGUAGGGUGCAAGCGUUAAUCGGAAUUACUGGGCGUAAAGCGUGCGCAGGCGGUCUGCUAAGAGAGGUGUGAAAUCCCCGGGCUUAACCUGGGAACUGCGCUUCUAACUGGCAGGCUUGAGUGUGGCAGAGGGGGGUGGAAUUCCACGUGUAGCAGUGAAAUGCGUAGAGAUGUGGAGGAACACCGAUGGCGAAGGCAGCCCCCU
rnacentral:rRNA from 1 species